rnacentral:lncRNA from 1 species
CCCCUUUUUAAGAAUAUCGUACAUAGCCCUUGUUGCUUUAUCAGCCUGUGCCUUUUUUGCUUUUGUGAAACUUCCUGUUCUAGAAAACAAUACACCAAGAUAUGUAAAUUCUUCAACAAUAUCUAACUCAAUAUCAGCAUAUUUAAAACUAACAUUUUGUAGUGGUCUACCUUUAGAAAAAAUUACUAUUUUGCUUUUAGGGACAUUGACUUUUAAUUUCCAUGUAUCACAAUAUUCUUUUAAAGCGUCUAAUUGUUUUUGUAGAUCUGCUUGUGUUUCUGACAUAAGUACAGUGUCGUCUGCGUACAAUACAACAAACAGUUUUAAAUACAUACUUAGUUCGUUCUCUAUUUGAUCUGAUAAAGAUUUCAAACCAUUUACAUUUUUGUUCUGAAAAAAGCUUUCUAAAUCAUUUAAAUAAAUAGAAAAAAGUAUGGGAGAUAAAUUUUCUCCCUGUCUUACACCUACAUUACAUGGAAAGUAGUCUGAAUAUUCCCCAUCACUAAAAAUUCGUGAUUUCACAUUUUUAUACAUAUUAAAUAUAGUGUUAU